UGGGCACAAGUCCGCGGGCA
rnacentral:misc_RNA from 1 species